rnacentral:rRNA from 1 species
CUGGGCUACACACGUGCUACAAUGGUCGGUACAAAGGGUUGCCAAGCCGCGAGGUGGAGCUAAUCCCAUAAAACCGAUCGUAGUCCGGAUCGCAGUCUGCAACUCGACUGCGUGAAGUCGGAAUCGCUAGUAAUCGCGAAUCAGAAUGUCGCGGUGAAUACGUUCCCGGGCCUUGUACACACCGCCCGUCACACCAUGGGAGUGGGUUGCACCAGAAGUAGCUAGUCUAACCUUCGGGAGGACGGUUACCACGGUGUGAUUCAUGACUGGGGUGAAGUCGUAACAAGGUAGCCGUAGGGGAACCUGCGGCUGGAUCACCUCCUUAAU